ensembl:lncRNA
ACACACACACACACACACACACACACACACACACACACACACACACACACACACACACACACACACACACACACACACUGGACGGGAUUUCCGUUGCGAUGGGUUUCCUCCAUCAGCGACUUAUACAAUAAACAAAUUAUGUAAAACAAAACCCCUCUUUCAUUUUAAAAUAAUAUGAGCAAAUAUGUUGAAUAGGCCUCCAUCUUUGUUAUACUUUUAAAAUGUUCCUAUAUAGCCUAUUUUACAGCUUACACACUGAUAUUUUAAAACAGGAAUGCGAAAUGCGAAAUGCGAAAUGCAUCCUGGGAUAUUUAACGGUCCCAAGUCCACACCAUGGACAUAUUGGGCUAGCCCCACCACUAAGUAAAAUAAUCUCCGUCCACUUCAACAGAGAAACACUCUGAGCAUGCGCAUUUCAAUGUUUCAAGUCCAAUACACAUUGCAUUGGGCUGGUGGGGCUAGAGCCCCUCUUGCCCCUCCAGACGAACUCAGCCUGAAGAAGCAAGCCAGGGUCGACUAAAAAUUAAAUAAAAGCGCCGAAUUUAUUAUUUUAUAGUACCCUCUGGGGAGAUUAUUUUUUAAAAAUAUAUAUAUGUAUAAAAAAAUAUAUUCUAUUUUUUAUAUAUUUCAUUUUUUUUCAUUUUCUUUUUCUUUUCUUUUUUUCUUGUGAGAGUAGCGACUUGCCCCUAAUGACCAGUCGCCACUGGUCAUUCUGACCUGGGACAUUUAGAAUUGUCGGUCCUCCUCAUUUUUUUCCGGUCAUUGACCGGUAAUAACCGAAAACGGAAACUGCUAUAAACCGGCCUAACUUUCACCAUCAACACCGAACCCCUUCUUCUUUGCACGGCUGUCAACAUCCGAAACAUACGCUAGUUAGAUUUUCUCAAACAGCAGUUUCAAGUACGGUUAGCAUAGAACUAACGUUAGCCAAGUGGGGGCUCCAUGAUUGCUAAAUCUAAUGAGAGAGGUAAAAUUGCCAUUAAGGAAGGAAAGCAUAGUAUGCCUUGCGACAUGUGCUUCGCAGUAUGCCUUGCGAAACCCAGUAUGCCUUUCGAAACACCUCGUGAUUGGUCGAUGAAACGCUACCAGGAACGCCUAAAGGGCAUUCUUGUGUCAUGACGGAAACGCCCAAGCCUGCAGCUGGACCCUUCUCGUAGCUCUCCCUUCCGUCUCCCGGUGAGGAGUUCCGUUUCUCACAGCGUCCCUUCACUGCAUCUCCCGUUGGAUGAAAACCAUUAAAUAUAAAACAUAUAUCAUAUAAAUAUAUAAUACGACCAUAUAAUGAGUAUAAACCACAACCCCACCAUAUAAAACCCUAUCGUAUCAAACCCCAGCAUACCACACCUAAACCCUACCAUAUCAAACCCCAUCAUAUCAAAUCCAACCCUGUGGAACACAGAAGAGGAAUAAAAGGAUAGAAGAGUAGAGGAGAAUAGAGGAGUACUGAGGAGAGGAGUACUGAGGAGUAUAGAAUAGUACUGAGAAGUAUAGAGGAGUACUGAGGAGUAUAGAGGAGUAAUGGGGAGUAAAGAGGAGUACUGGGGAGUAUAGAAGAGUAAUGGGGAGUAUAGCGGAGUACUGGGGAGUAUGGAGGAGUACUGAGGGGAAUAGAGGAGUACUGACGAGUAUAGAGGAGUACAGGGGAGUAUAGAGGAGUACUGGAGAGUAUAGAGGAGUACUGGGGAGUAUAGAGGAGUACUAGGGAGUAUAGAGGAGAACUGGGGAUUACUGAGGAGUAAUGGGAAGUACUGAGGAAUAAUGGAGAGUAUAGAGGAGUACUGGAGAGUAUAGAGGAUUAAUGGGGUGUAAUGGGGAGUAUAGAGGAGUAAUGGGGUGUAAUGGGGAGUAUAGAGGAGUACUGAGGAGUACUGAGGAGUAUAGAAGAGUACUGUCGAGUAUAGAGGAGUACUGGGGAGUAUAGAGGAGUACUGGAGAGUAUAGAGGAGUACUGGGGAGUAUAGAGGAGUACUGGGGAUUACUGAGGAGUAAUGGGAAGUACUGAGGAGUAAUGGAGAGUAUAGAGGUGUGCUGGAGAGUAUAGAGGAGUAAUGGGGUGUAUAGAGGAGUAAUGGGGAGUAUAGAGGAGUAAUGGGGAGUAUAGAGGAGUAAUGGGGAGUAUAGAGGAGUAAUGGGGAGUAUAGAGGAGUAAUGGGGUGUAUAGAGGAGUAAUGGGGAGUAAUGGGGAGUAUAGAGGAGUAAUGGGGUGUAUAGAGGAGUAAUGGGGUGUAAUGGGGAGUAUAGAGGAGUAAUCAGUGCAUCAUUGUAUGCUACCUUGAGCCUAUGCAUACUCUUUUUUUUAUAGUUAGACCACAUUGAGCAGUAUAUAGCAGAGUGAUGUAGGUUCUAAACAGGGAGCACUUCAGAGUCAGAGCAUAUAGAAAACGUCCUUAUAAGCAUGUUAGCUUGAGCAUACAUUUUACAACGCUGUCGGUAGAGGUCUUUGUCAUCUGCCCAGUUAUCGGAUAUGACACGACAAAGGUAUUUAAUUUCCUCACAUACAGCAAGAGGACUGUCUGACCUCUUGCUGUAUGUGAUCGUAUGCCUGGUUGGUUUGCUAUUGCUAUUGUUGCACAGGUAUGGAUGUAUGAAUGGAGGAGCAGUUUUUGGUCAGGAUGAAUGCUGAGUGUUUGGUGUGAUUGCUAUUUGCACAGGAGUGUGGGAAUUUACAGAAAAAUUACAGCUAUUUUUGCACAUGAAUGCUUGUUUGCACAAUACUAAGUACAACAGUUUUUGAGCCUGUUUGUCCAAUAGUUUUUACUGAUCGUUUUCAUAUCUGUGAUUUGCCAAUACUAUGUUCAACAAUUUUGCACUUGCCCAUGUGAUGAACUGUUUGUAUGUUGUAUGUUGUUUCAUACUGAUGUGAUGCAGCUAUUGCCCAGAUCCAAACAAAUUUCUCCCCUGGGAGACACAAUAAAUUGACUUGAGUUGAUUUCCUGUCCUCAGCGCUUCCAACUAUCAUUAUGUGGCUCUUCUUAGCGUUAUACUUUAUGUCACGAUCAAGGCCAUACUGAGAGCACACCCUCAGCCUCUGC